rnacentral:rRNA from 1 species
CGCGUAGGCGGUCUUGUAAGUCAGAUGUGAAAUCUCUCGGCUUAACCGGGAAAGUGCAUUUGAAACUAUGAGACUUGAGUAUGGGAGAGGGAAGUGGAAUUCCUGGUGUAGAGGUGAAAUUCGUAGAUAUCAGGAGGAACACCGGUGGCGAAGGCGACUUCCUGGACCAAUACUGACGCUGAGGCGCGAAGGCGUGGGGAGCAAACA